rnacentral:rRNA from 1 species
AUUGAACGCUGGCGGCAGGCCUAACACAUGCAAGUCGAACGGAGCGGCGGACGGGUGAGUAAUUCCUAGGAAUCUACCUGGUAGUGGGGGAUAACGUCCGGCAACGGGCGCUAAUACCGCAUACUAUCAGAUGAGCCUAGGUCGGAUUAGCUAGUUGGUGGGGGAAAGGACUACCAAGUCGACGAUCCGUACCUGGUCUGAGAGGAUGAUCAGUCACCCUGGAACGUAGAAACGGGCCAGACUCCUACGGGAGGCAGCAGUGGGGAAUAUUGGACAAUGGGCGAAAGCCUGAUCCAGCCAUGCCGCGUGUGUGAAGAAGGUUGUCGGAUUGUAAAGCCCUUUAAGUUGGGAGGCGGUACCAACAGAAGAAGCACCGGCUAACUUCGUGCCAGCAGCCGCGGUAAUUC